rnacentral:rRNA from 1 species
CAGGACGAACGCUGGCGGCGUGCUUAACACAUGCAAGUCGAACGGGGAUAGCGUUGGAAGUCCUUCGGGGUGGAAGAUGCUAUUCGAGUGGCGGACGGGUGAGUAACGCGUGAACAAUCUGUCCCAGACAGGGGGAUAACACUUGGAGACAGGUGCUAAUACCGCAUAAGACCACGGUGUCGCAUGGCACAGGGGUAAAGGAGCGAUCCGGUUUGGGGUGAGUUCGCGUCCGAUUAGCCAGUUGGUGAGGUAACGGCCCACCAAAGCGACGAUCGGUAGCCGAUCUGAGAGGAUGACCGGCCACAUUGGAACUGAGAGACGGUCCAAACUCCUACGGGAGGCAGCAGUGGGGAAUAUUGGGCAAUGGGCGAAAGCCUGACCCAGCAACGCCGCGUGAGUGAAGAAGGCCUUCGGGUUGUAAAGCUCUGUUAUAGGGGACGAAGAGCGUGACGGUACCCUAUAAGGAAGCCCCGGCUAACUACGUGCCAGCCGCUGC